ensembl:snRNA U6 U6 spliceosomal RNA
GUGCUCACUUCGGCUGCACAUAUUCUAAAAUUGGAAUGAUACAAAGAAGAUUAGCAUGGCCCCUGCACAAGGAUGAAAUGCAAAUUCAUCAAGCAUUCCAUAUUUUU